rnacentral:rRNA from 1 species
CAGUAGCCGCGGUAAUACAGAGGGUGCAAGCGUUAAUCGGAUUUACUGGGCGUAAAGGGCGCGUAGGUGGUUAUUUAAGUGAGAUGUGAAAUCCCCGGGCUUAACCUGGGAACUGCAUCUUAUACUGGGUAACUGGAGUGCAAUAGAGGGUAGUGGAAUUUCCGGUGUAGCGGUGAAAUGCGUAGAUAUCGGAAGGAACACCAGUGGCGAAGGCGACCACCUGGACUGAUACUGACACUGAGGUGCGAAAGCGUGGGGAGCAAACAGGAUUAGAUACCCCAGUAGUCCCUGUCUCUUAUAC